GGGGGACAUGGGGGUGCCCAGACCAGGGCUACGUGUGGAGCUGCAGGGAGCAGGUGCUUUGGUGUGGCUGGGGAGACUCCCGACGCGGGGCUGCCAGACAGCUGUUCUCCUGCUUGCAUCUCUAUCCAUGCAGAACCUGACUCUGACAGAAACACAUGCCUACUGAUUUACAUCUAGUUUCCUGGUAUUACAUGUUUGCUGUGCUAUUCUGAAUGUUUCCAUAAGUUAUGGAGUGUGGCACAGGCAGCCAUCUGAAGUAGCAAGGACGGUUACACCACUUUUCAAAGACCUUCCCUGGCCUAUCUCGGCAACUCAACUUUUUGUUUUGUUUUUUUGUUUUGGCGGGGGGACAACCAAAGAGCCUAAGAGAAGAAUGAGGCAGCUGAAAGGAAAACCCAAAAAGGAGACCUCCAGAGAUAAAAAGGAGAGAAAGCAGGCAAUGCAAGAGGCUCGACAACAAAUCACCACUGUUGUGCUUCCCACAAUGGCUGUUGUUGUGCUUUUAAUUGUUGUGUUUGUUUAUGUGGCGACUCGCCCAAAUUCAACUGAAUGAUGCAGCUUUUUAAAUUCUCUAACUUCGUGUAUUAAUGCUCAUAUUUAAUGAAGAGCCAAAAAAACCCCCCAAACCUUUCUUCCAAGAUCCCACUUUUUAAUAGUAUUUUACAAAGGAACCUACUGUCAUCUUCAGUCUUCUACUUAGAGUGCUAUGAUUUCUGUUUUGGAAUGUAACAUAAAACGGAUUAGUGAGCGUGCCAAUACGUUUUAUGGUCUAGUUGAUGUGCCUUUCAGACUUUUUAAAUGGUGUUUUUUUCUUAAAGCUCUUUGAAGUUCUAUAUUGUGAAAGGAAACUCUGUUGUGUUAUACAUUUGUAUAAAUCAGCUUUCAGAUUUUAUCACUGUAAUCUGUAAUGUUGCUCCCAUGAGUUUUUGUAUGUCUGUUUCACAACUUCCAAAGAAGUACAUUUCUUCUUUGUGCUUAAUGUCAUUUGAAAUGCUCUGAUUUAAAAUAUAUAUAUAUAUAUUUUUUGAAUAAAGAAGAUAUUAAUCUUA